AUCUAGCUCACAGUCUGCGUUGUGGGUGGCAUCGCCAUCCAAUCCCCACAUGGAGGGGAUUGUCGUCGAGUACUCCGGAGUGUCGCGCGACUAGGACCACUUGGAGGUCCGGACCACAUGGAGGUCCGCAGACGGUCCCGGGCUUGGGUGCACAUGGAGCUCCCUCCCCACUUUGGGAUUGUAAGGUGAGUCAUGGGCGAGCCCUAGGGCCUCGCCACAGAUUGGGUAAAUGGA
rnacentral:lncRNA from 1 species